rnacentral:rRNA from 1 species
GCUACGUGAGGCAGCAGUGAGGAAUAUUGGUCAAUGGGCGUAAGCCUGAACCAGCCAAGUCGCGUGAGGGAUGAAGGUUCUAUGGAUCGUAAACCUCUUUUAUAAGGGAAUAAAGUGUGGGACGUGUCCUAUUUUGUAUGUACCUUAUGAAUAAGGAUCGGCUAACUCCGUGACAGCAGCCGCGGUAAUACGGAGGAUCCGAGCGUUAUCCGGAUUUAUUGGGUUUAAAGGGUGCGUAGGCGGCCGUUGAAGUCAGCGGUGAAAGUCUGUGGCUCACCCAUAGAAUUUCCGUUGAAACUGGGGGUCUUGAGUAUGUUUGAGGCAGGCGGAAGGCGUGGUGUAGCGGUGAAAUGCUGAGAUAUCACGCAGAACCCCGAUUGCGAAGGCAGCCUGCCAGGCCAUGACUGACGCUGAUGCACGAAAGUGUGGGGAUCAAACAGGAGUAGAUACCCCUGUAGUC